GUAGGGGGGCCAAACGUUGCCCGGAUUUAUUGGGCGUAAAGGGCUCGUAGGCGGGUUCAACAAGUCGGUCGUGAAAUGCCGGGGGCUCAACCCCGGAACGCCGGUCGAAACUGUUGUGACUAGGGUCCGGUAGAGGUGAGUGGAAUUCUCGGUGUAGCGGUGGAAUGCGCAGAUAUCGAGAGGAACACCAGUUGCGAAGGCGGCUCACUGGGCCGGUACCGACGCUGAGGAGCGAAAGCAUGGGGAGCAAACAGGAUUAGAUACCCUGGUAGUCCAUGCCGUAAACUGUGAACACUAGGUGUGGCGGAUCUAUUGAUGUCUGCCGUACCGUAGCUAACGCGUUAAGUGUUCCGCCUGGGGAGUACGGCCGCAAGGCUA
rnacentral:rRNA from 1 species